UCGGCUUAUUGUGGUACAAACAGUGGAUGACAAUCAGUUCAGUAGUAAAAGAACUACAAUUAAAAAAAUAUUUCGUCCAACGCCUUCAAACACUUGAAAUCGCUGCUUUUUCUUUUACCCAAUCAGAUUGUAGAUUGUUCGGAACUCCCUUGUGACAAAGGAGUUUAUCCGUCCUCUUAUUGGUUGAGCCAGGUGUAUGAUCUGAUUGGUUCAGCUCAGCUGUGCGCCGAAGCUUGAUUUUCGAUGGCGGCGAUAUCCGACUAUGAUUAAAAAGUCAUUUUCAAGGCGCGCCUUUCAAUGAAAAAAAAAAAAGAAUUUAUGAGACUUGGUGAACCAACACCGUUUUGCUAAGUGGCUUGUUUCAAUAUAGAAGUUUUUGGGGGAGCACUUUUAGCGUAGUUAUGUAUGAGCAGAACAACUAGCAUAGUUAGCAUCCGCAGACAGACAGGAGCCUCCGCGUCAACAUCUGUGUUGGAGGUGGUUGAGCUCAUUAAAUACCCACGAAAGGCCCAGGUCGGAAACUCAGCGCCCGCCACUGAUUGACACCAACUUGGACAUUUUCAACAAGAGUUGCUCUUUGCAAAAACAUGACCAGGAAAAAAAAAAAAAAAAGAUGCUGAUAAUUUGCUUUGGCGCUUGCGUGCACCUCGUAAGAGAAAGGGCAAGUUGAAGCUGGUGUGUGGCACCGAUGAACUCGCUGGGUCGACAGGUUCAUCAAGUUUGUAGUCUAUUCACUGAAGCUGAGUAAUGGAGUACGGAUACUUCAUUUUUUUUUUUUUUUUUAACUCUAAAUUAACCUCAAGGUCUUGUUUGAAUGAAUUUGUCUACUCUUAUUAUUAUGGCUCUAUUCUUGGCCUAGCUCCAAAUGGAUUUGGAACAUGGUUCAUGUACAUGGAAAAUAAAUAGUCAGUAAAGGUUAAGUAGAGACUGUGAGUACUUUCACCACCUGUGCCCAAGGCUAAUGAUUGCUUCGGUUGUAUCCUGUGGAAAGUCCCACUUUUUUUUUUUCUCCAACAGUAGUGUUUCCUGUAUUGACAGUACAGAACCGAGCGACGUGGCGUUCUUCGGUCUUUGUUUACUGUCUGGAAACAAUCUGAUCUGUGUACCAUAUGGGUCAUGCAGUUUGAAGAAUGUGAUGCAAUCCGAGUCGCACAUCUCCUUUACAGUUUAUUAUCCUGCGUGUCCAAUGAAAAGCAUCUAUUGAAAAGUAUCUCCAAAUU